UUAAAAAUAGUUUAAAUAAAACAUUGAUUUUGGAGAUCAAAAAUUGAUGAGUUUCAUUUUUGAAC
rnacentral:tRNA from 1 species